rnacentral:rRNA from 1 species
GUCGAACGGAAAGGCCCAGCUUGCUGGGUGCUCGAGUGGCGAACGGGUGAGUAACACGUGGGUGAUCUGCCUCUAACUUCGGGAUAAGCUUGGGAAACUGGGUCUAAUACCGGAUAGGACAAUCGUUUAGUGUCGGUUGUGGAAAGUUUUUUCGGUUAGGGAUGAGCCCGCGGUCUAUCAGCUUGUUGGUGGGGUAAUGGCCUACCAAGGCGUCGACGGGUAGCCGGCCUGAGAGGGUGGACGGCCACAUUGGGACUGAGAUACGGCCCAGACUCCUACGGGAGGCAGCAGUGGGGAAUAUUGCACAAUGGGCGCAAGCCUGAUGCAGCGACGCCGCGUGGGGGAUGACGGCCUUCGGGUUGUAAACCUCUUUCGACAGGGACGAAGCUUUGGUGACGGUACCUGUAUAAGAAGCACCGGCUAACUACGUGCCAGCAGCCGCGGUAAUACGUAGGGUGCGAGCGUUGUCCGGAAUUACUGGGCGUAAAGAGCUCGUAGGUGGUUUGUCGCGUCGUCUGUGAAAUUCCGGGGCUUAACUUCGGGCGUGCAGGCGAUACGGGCAUAACUUGAGUGCUGUAGGGGAGACUGGAAUUCCUGGUGUAGCGGUGGAAUGCGCAGAUAUCAGGAGGAACACCGAUGGCGAAGGCAGGUCUCUGGGCAGUAACUGACGCUGAGGAGCGAAAGCAUGGGGAGCGAAUAGGAUUAGAUACCCUGGUAGUCCAUGCCGUAAACGGUGGGCGCUAGGUGUAGGGGUCUUCCACGACUUCUGUGCCGUAGCUAACGCAUUAAGCGCCCCGCCUGGGGAGUACGGCCGCAAGGCUAAAACUCAAAGGAAUUGACGGGGGCCCGCACAAGCGGCGGAGCAUGUGGAUUAAUUCGAUGCAACGCGAAAAACCUUACCUGGGCUUGACAUAUCCAGGACUGGG